GGGAAGGACCAUCAUUUGUACUCUCCACCAACCUCGUUCUUCAAUCUUUUCUAUGUUCGAUUAUUUGUGUUGUCUCUCGGAAGGACGUGUUGUUUAUUUUGGAGCUGCAGGAGGAGCGGUUGAUUAUUUCGAAAGAGAAAUUGAACAAAAAUGCUCCGCUUAUUUUAAUCCUGCUGAUUUUAUUAUUGAUGUCUCUUUGGAAGACGAAAGAAGGAGA
rnacentral:ribozyme from 1 species